rnacentral:lncRNA from 1 species
CUUCCUAAAAACCAAACAUCACAAUGCAGCUUUAUUCGUCCGGCUACGUUUCACCAGCAGGCAUUCAUUCCACACACCUGUUAUUAAAGUCCAGCUUCCCCCAGCACAGAACAGCACCAAGGCCAGGAACUUAGAACUCAUCUGAUCUGCCCUGUUGAGCCGUUGUCCCCAAGGUCUCCUAUUUUGUUGAAUUCGGCCUCUUGAUGACAAUGGUGAGAGGACCCUGAGAAGUACCUGCAGUUAGCUUAAGCCAGAGUCACUUCUUUAAGGACAGGUUUUGACUUGGGGAUAGUGGGGACAGGCUCAGGCAUUGUAAUGGCGCGGGGCCUUGGGACAGUCAGGUUGAAUUCCUUGGGCACUGU